UGGGGAAUUUUGGACAAUGGGGGAAACCCUGAUCCAGCCAUCCCGCGUGUGCGAUGAAGGCCUUCGGGUUGUAAAGCACUUUUGGCAGGAAAGAAACGUCGCGGGUUAAUACCCCGCGAAACUGACGGUACCUGCAGAAUAAGCACCGGCUAACUACGCGCCAGCAGCCGCGGUAAUACGUAGGGUGCAAGCGUUAAUCGGAAUUACUGGGCGUAAAGCGUGCGCAGGCGGUUCGGAAAGAAAGAUGUGAAAUCCCAGAGCUUAACUUUGGAACUGCAUUUUUAACUACCGGGCUAGAGUGUGUCAGAGGGAGGUGGAAUUCCGCGUGUAGCAGUGAAAUGCGUAGAUAUGCGGAGGAACACCGAUGGCGAAGGCAGCCUCCUGGGAUAACACUGACGCUCAUGCACGAAAGCGUGGGGAGCAAACAGGAUUAGAUACCCUGGUAGUCCACGCCCUAAACGAUGUCAACUAGCUGUUGGGGCCUUCGGGCCUUGGUAGCGCAGCUAACGCGUGAAGUUGACCGCCUGGGGAGUACGGUCGCAAGAUU
rnacentral:rRNA from 1 species